rnacentral:rRNA from 1 species
UACGAAGGGUGCUAGCGUUGUUCGGAAUUACUGGGCGUAAAGCGCGCGUAGGCUGUUUGACAAGUCAGAGGUGAAAGCCCUGGGCUCAACCCAGGAAUCGCCUUUGAAACUGUCAGACUAGAGUGUCGGAGGGGAUAGCGGAAUUCCUAAUGUAGAGGUGAAAUUCGUAGAUAUUAGGAGGAACACCGGUGGCGAAGGCGGCUAUCUGGACGACAACUGACGCUGAGGCGCGAAAGCACGGGGAUCAAACAGG